rnacentral:rRNA from 1 species
UACGGAGGGUGCAAGCGUUGUCCGGAUUUAUUGGGUUUAAAGGGUGCGUAGGCGGCGAAUUAAGUCAGCGGUGAAAUUCCACAGCUCAACUGUGGAACUGCCAUUGAUACUGGUUGGCUUGAGUACAGAUGAGGUAGGCGGAAUUGACAGUGUAGCGGUGAAAUGCUUAGAUAUUGUCAAGAACACCUAUUGCGAAGGCAGCUUACUAAGCUGUAACUGACGCUGAGGCACGAAAGCGUGGGGAGCAAACAGG